ACCUUGGAUCCUCCUGGAGGGAAGACGCUCUGAGGAAGGAUGACUUCUCCUCUAUUGUGGAGGAGCUGGUCGAAGGAGAGGUGUGUGAAGACUGGAGGAUAGCUGAUGUCACCACAGCCUUCAGAAAAGGUGUCAUCUGCAAGUGGCUGGAAGAGAAGGAAUUUCUAAGGAGCAGUCAAGGCAAUUUCUAUGGAGGGGAAUUCAUGCUGGACCAAAAGGUAGUGUUGUGUGUUGUCUUGAUUGUGCAGUUAGAUGAGAGGAGGGCAGCAGACUGGCGCAACUGAUGUGCGAGAGCCCAAUUGAUGGGGAUGGGUGGCAUGUGGUAGUAUGGAG
ensembl:lncRNA